CUGAAUUUAAAUUUAUCUUUUCCAUGUUUCGCUAAAAAUUGUUUGCCAUUUUUCUUUUUUUUCUUUUUUUUUCUGUUUUCAUAUUAAAGAUUAACAUUUCAAAUCCUCAUGCUCAAUUUUUUGUAUUUGUUUUUUUUUUUUAUUUUAUUUUUUAUUUUUUUGUUUUCAUUCUAAAAAAAAAAAUUUAUAUGUACAGUGAAAUUCAAAAAUAUAUAGAAAGUUUAGCAUACGUGAUAUAUAUAUAUAUAUAUAUAUAUAUAUAUAUGUUAACAUUAUUUUAUUUUAACUCUCAAAAGUAGUUUUUUUUUUUUAUGUGUUCGGAAUUACUUACAAAGUUACAACAAAAAUAAAAAAAUAAACAAAAACUAGCUAUUAAAAGACAAUAUUUUUUUACUAAAAACUUUUAUGCAAUUUUUGUUUUUAUAUUCUCUUUUUUUUUUUUUUUUUUUUAAUUAUUUGUACAGCUUAGUAUAUUUUACCAUUACUAUUGUGAACACAUAUAUAUAUAUAUAUAUAUAUAUAUAACUUACUAUUUAGGUGAAUAAAUAGAUACAAGAAAUUUGCAGGAAAUAAAAAACAUAAAGAGCCUCUAUGAAACAAUUUGUUAUUUUUAUUUUUAAGUAAAAUGUUUAUUGUAAAAAGUAACAUACACAGUGAUAACACAUUGGAAACGAGCGCAAAAAAAGAGCAUGCUAAAAUAAAUAAAUUUAUAAUUUCAUUAAUUGUUAUACUUAAUAUAUUAAAUCUCUUGUUUACUUUUAUAUUAGCUAUAAAGUUUUUCAUUUGCUCAUAUAAUAUAACUGCUUUUCUAUUUCUUUUAACACAAACAUGCUUAUGGUCAUAUCUAGCAAUCUUAAAUGUAUAUGACAAGAAAUACGUCUUUUCUGUUUCCUCAUUGUUUGGAAUUCAUUUAUAUAAACAAUGCUACCAAAACUAUGACAAGCUAUUUUUAUCAGAAGAAAUCCAAGAGUACCAUUUUAUGUCUGUUGCCCUUUCACAUUUUCCUUUUCUAUACAUUUGUUAUGAUGUUUUUAUAUAUCAAUAUGAUAGUGUUUUUAUAAAAAGCUCAUUAGAUUAUACCUACAAUGACAAAUCUUUAAUACUAUUAAAUUUUAUAAGAGGAAUAUUUUGUUCCUUAUCAAUUGCAAUAAUUUUUACAAUAUCCAUUGUAUUAAACAUACAAAAUACAUUUAGAACAUAUCCUUUGCAGAAGCUGCUUGAUAGCAAAACAAAAAAAUACCUUAUUUAUAUAUUUUUAUUUUACCUAAUCGACUCACAAAUAAGAGUAAUAACGUUUCUGUUUAUCAUAGAAACGUAUGACGUUAACCCUUUUAAAAUAUUCGUUUUUAUUUUCUCGCAGAUUGUGACCAUAUGCGUAUGUAUUGCUUUUGAUAUGCAUAUUUUUAAAAAUAUAAUUAUUGGUAUAUCAUCAAUUUUGGUUUCUCCUUUAUCUAUAAUAUUACAUUCAACAAAUAGGAAUUAUAGUAAUGAAAGAAUUGUAAGACUUAGCAAGUUAUUAAUAAAUUUUCGUUUCUUUGAAUUUUUUUUAAUACUUUUUUACGGUUCUUUAUAUUAUGAUGAUGAUGAACUUGAGAAUGUUUCUAUUCUAUAUGCUCAAUUAAUCAAUUUAAUAUUACUAUUCAUUCUUAUAGUAGUAUAUCAAAAAGUUAUAUCUUGUAAAAGAAAAUUUGAAGAAAACAUUGACGAGUUUAAUACAGACUUGUACAACAAUAUAAAUGACAACUAGUUACAUGCACUAAUAUUUAUGUGUACGUAUUCGCAAAUACAUAUACUAUGUUUUUAAUUUUUUUUAACGUGUUCAACUUUUACCAAUAAUUGAAAAAACAAAAAACAAAAAAUAAACAGAAAACAAAAAAUAAACA
ensembl:lncRNA